AAGUCACGCUUAGCUUUUGCAAGUAUUUGUUUUGCAGCAUUGAAAAACCCCUCAGCGUUCUGCCCUGAGUCUGAGGCUGGUGUUGCUUGGCUGCAGCUGCCAUUUGCCACUGAUGAUCAUUCUUCUCUUCCCCUAUGAGAGUAAGAAGGAAAGGAUGAAGUCUGAGUGGU
rnacentral:snoRNA from 1 species